UACGUAGGGUGCAAGCGUUAAUCGGAAUUACUGGGCGUAAAGCGUGCGCAGGCGGUUAUAUAAGACAGAUGUGAAAUCCCCGGGCUCAACCUGGGAACUGCAUCCAAAACUGGCAAGCUAGAGUAUGGCAGAGGGUGGUGGAAUUUCCUGUGUAGCGGUGAAAUGCGUAGAUAUGCGGAGGAACACCGAUGGCGAAGGCAAUCCCCUGGGCCUGUACUGACGCUCAUGCACGAAAGCGUGGGGAGCAAACAGGAUUAGAUACCCCUGUAGUCC
rnacentral:rRNA from 1 species